rnacentral:snRNA from 1 species
GAGUUUUCGAAUACAUUCGAUAAAAUUAAAAUGGUACAAAGCAGAUUAGCUUGACACCUGCAAAAGGACCACACACAAGUCUAAAAAUAGUCCAAAUAUUUU